GACGAACGCUGGCGGCGUGCUUAACACAUGCAAGUCGAACGGAAAGGCCCUGCUUUUGUGGGGUUCUCGAGUGGCGAACGGGUGAGUAACACGUGAGUAACCUGCCCUUGACUUUGGGAUAACUUCAGGAAACUGGGGCUAAUACCGGAUAGGAGCUCCUGCUGCAUGGUGGGGGUUGGAAAGUUUCGGCGGUUGGGGAUGGACUCGCGGCUUAUCAGCUUGUUGGUGGGGUAGUGGCUUACCAAGGCUUUGACGGGUAGCCGGCCUGAGAGGGUGGCCGGCCACAUUGGGACUGAGGUACGGCCCAGACUCCUACGGGAGGCAGAAGUGGGGAAUAUUGCACAAUGGGCGGAAGCCUGAUGCAGCAACGCCGCGUGCGGGAUGACGGCCUUCGGGUUGUAAACCGCUUUCGCCUGUGACGAAGCGUGAGUGACGGUAAUGGGUAAAGAAGCACCGGCUAACUACGUG
rnacentral:rRNA from 1 species